GAGAACUUAGCAGAGAUGCUUUGGUGCCUUCGGGAACUCUGAGACAGGUGCUGCAUGGCUGUCGUCAGCUCGUGUUGUGAAAUGUUGGGUUAAGUCCCGCAACGAGCGCAACCCUUAUCCUUUGUUGCCAGCGGCUCGGCCCGGGAACUCAAAGGAGACUGCCGGUGAUAAACCGGAGGAAGGUGGGGAUGACGUCAAGUCAUCAUGGCCCUUACGGCCAGGGCUACACACGUGCUACAAUGGCGCAUACAAAGAGAAGCGACCUCGCGAGAGCAAGCGGACCUCACAAAGUGCGUCGUAGUCCGGAUUGGAGUCUGCAACUCGACUCCAUGAAGUCGGAAUCGCUAGUAAUCGUAGAUCAGAAUGCUACGGUGAAUACGUUCCCGGGCCUUGUACACACCGCCCGUCACACCAUGGGAGUGGGUUGCAAAAGAAGUAGGUAGCUUAACCUUCGGGAGGGCGCUUACCACUUUGUGAUUCAUGACUGGGGUGAAGUCGUAACAAGGUAGGCGUAGCGAG
rnacentral:rRNA from 1 species